UAACAUUCCGAAAGGAGUGCUAAUACCGAAUAAGACCACGACCUCGAAAGAGGAUGCGGUCAAAGCUGGCCUCUAUAUAUAUGCUAGCGCUUGAGGAUGAGUCCGCGGCGCAUCAGCUAGUUGGUAGGGUAAUGGCCUACCAAGGCUAAGACGCGUAGCUGGUCUGAGAGGAUGAUCAGCCGGAUUGGGACUGAGAUACGGCCCAG
rnacentral:rRNA from 1 species